AAGGAAAGCUCCCGGUGCCCCAGCCCACACCUAUCGCGUCGCCGGCUCGCCGCCGCGCCGCCCGGCUGGUGCACCGCCUCAGACCAAUGGCGCGGGAGGAGGAGAAGAGAGAGGGAGAGAGAGCGCGCGCAGAGCGAAGUGGCAACUCGGCCAUUGUUUUUGAUACUUGACACUUUUGAGCAACUGAGUACCUUGGAAUACCCUGUCUCUGGAAUGCAGUGGAGAAGGAAGAUGCAAUCCGUUGGGUAUGCCGGGUUGAGGCACCAGACUUCGAUAUGAUGUUAAUUACUGACAGAAGGGAAGCUAUAUGACUUGACCAUGGUGGAUGAUCUGUGGCGCACUUGUGGAUAUGGAACUUUCUGAAUACAUGAAAUACCUAGAUGUUUCUAGGAUACAUGAGCCAAGUCACCAGAGGGACCAUUUUGUCUAUUCCUCGUAGUUACACAUGAAAUCUUGUUUCCUUAUGUGAACCAAGCGAAGGAACCGGUGGCUGGCAAUUUCCUGGAAAGACCGAUGAAGGAAGAUAUUGGCUUCAGUUGGAAAAAGGGAACACGGUUGGUUAUUGUGUGACACUGUAGGAGUAGCAUGUCCUUUUCUUUUCGUGUCAUUAGUUAACAAAUAUGUGGCCGUUCUUGCCUGGAAAAUUUGGAAGAAAUCCACCAAGGAGUUAAGAAAUACAGUAUGUUUUUUGAAGGGGAAGCUGAGACUGAGUUAUCAGGUGCGUCCCAGUGUAUUGUAUGUAAUGGAUGAAGGGGAGUGAUGGGCUGUUGCCUGUUGGGGUGCCAACUGCUGUUCCCGCAAAA